GAGAAGGACGCAUUGAUAACUUAAUUGUAAACACUUUGGCAUUGUUGUAAAUGUUGCCCGUGUUCGGCUUGUUCUGAGGUGCUACCUUGUAGUGUGUACCAAGUACAUGUGUACCAAGUAACCACAGUAUCGAAACCAAACACUGGGGAGCAUCGACAUGUGUGAUAUCCACAUAUGACAGCAGUCAUCAGUGUAGUGGAUCCGUGUUUAAGCCAGGAACACUGAGGAACUUUACGCUCAACGCCAUAAAACCGGGACCAGAAACUUAAAUAUUUGUAUACCAAAUAAAUAUGUAAAUUGU